rnacentral:rRNA from 1 species
CCUACGGGGGGCUGCAGUGGGGAAUAUUGGACAAUGGGGGCAACCCUGAUCCAGCCAUGCCGCGUGUGUGAAGAAGGCCCUCGGGUUGUAAAGCACUUUCAGUGAGGAAGAACGCCUGGUGGUUAAUACCCAUCAGGAAAGACAUCACUCACAGAAGAAGCACCGGCUAACUCCGUGCCAGCAGCCGCGGUAAUACGGAGGGUGCGAGCGUUAAUCGGAAUUACUGGGCGUAAAGCGCGCGUAGGUGGCUUGAUAAGCCGGUUGUGAAAGCCCCGGGCUCAACCUGGGAACGGCAUCCGGAACUGUCAAGCUAUAGUGCAGGAGAGGAAGGUAGAAUUCCCGGUGUAGCGGUGAAAUGCGUAGAGAUCGGGAGGAAUACCAGUGGCGAAGGCGGCCUUCUGGACUGACACUGACACUGAGGUGCGAAAGCGUGGGUAGCAAACAGGAUUAGAUACCCGUGUAGUC